UUACCAGGUCUUGACAUACUCGUGCUAUUCCUAGAGAUAGGAAGUUCCUUCGGGACACGGGAUACAGGUGGUGCAUGGUUGUCGUCAGCUCGUGUCGUGAGAUGUUGGGUUAAGUCCGCAACGAGCGCAACCCCUAUUGUUAGUUGCCAUCAUUAAGUUGGGCACUCUAACGAGACUGCCGGUGAUAAACCGGAGGAAGGUGGGGAUGACGUCAAAUCAUCAUGCCCCUUAUGACCUGGGCUACACACGUGCUACAAUGGAUGGUACAACGAGUCGCGAGACAGUGAUGUUUAGCUAAUCUCUUAAAACCAUUCUCAGUUCGGAUUGUAGGCUGCAACUCGCCUACAUGAAGUCGGAAUCGCUAGUAAUCGCGGAUCAGCACGCCGCGGUGAAUACGUUCCCGGGCCUUGUACACACCGCCCGUCACACCACGGGAGUUGGGAGUACCCGAAGUAGGUUGCCUAACCGCAAGGAGGGCGCUUCCUAAGGUAAGACCGAUGACUGGGGUGAAGUCGUAACAAGGUAGGCGUAGCGAG
rnacentral:rRNA from 1 species